UUUUGUCAUUUUUGUCACUGACAUUUUCAAUAAAUAAAAGAAUAUGAAUUGCAAAAUAGAAAUUGAUUUUUGGGAGUUGAUUUUAAUCAACUCUCCUAUGCAGUUACUCUGGCAAACCGAAACUGAAACAGUGUUUGGACCUAAGCACAAAUCAUCACCACUGACAAGACUAAGUUCUUGAAAAUAAUCGAUAAAUUCGAUGUAAUGUACGCUGAAACAUUUUUUAAAAAGGAAACUUAUUUAUUAAUACCUUGGAAAUAGUCAUAUUUUAAAUAGUACGAACAAUUUAGAAGUUUUUUGCAGUCGUAUGUAUUCUUUUAAUAUUGUUUAUAAGACAUAAACUCAUGAAAAUUUAAGAUUUUGAAUGUUUUGGUAAUAGGUUUUAGCUGUUUAUAUUUUGAUAUAAUUGUUUAUUAGAAAGAUAUACUGGUUUCAACUAGGAAUACUUUACAAUAGGGACCGCGAGAUUUCGCGAUAUUUCAAUCGGUUGCCAAUCUGAGUUAUUUUUAUCUCUGGUGUCAUCCUUGAAGAUUUUGAUAAAUUAAAUAUGUU
rnacentral:misc_RNA from 1 species